rnacentral:lncRNA from 1 species
CCCUUAUUUAGUGUUUUCAGUUGCUGUUACUACCUAAUUAUAGGUGACACAGAAUGUCUUUUGUGUUUGUAUUAAAAAGGACAAUUGAUUCCAGAGAAAGCGCACCCUUGGAUUCUUGCACUGAGGUAGUCAAACACCAAAAAAAGAACACAGCAAACUGGACAGUGGCAAGAGUCACCAGAAAGAAGACAACCAUUUCAAGAAACCAUGGAGAUCUAUUGUGGAAGGCCACUGCAUCACAGGAUGGAAGGAGU